rnacentral:rRNA from 1 species
GCAUAUCAAUAAGCGGAGGAAAAGAAACCAACAGGGAUUGCCCUAGUAACGGCGAGUGAAGCGGCAACAGCUCAAAUUUGAAAUCUGGCCCUCGUGGUCCGAGUUGUAAUUUGCAGAGGAUGAUUUGGGCGAGGUGCCUUCCGAGUUCCCUGGAACGGGACGCCAUAGAGGGUGAGAGCCCCGUCUGGUUGGACACCGAGCCUAUGUAAAUCUCCUUCAACGAGUCGAGUAGUUUGGGAAUGCUGCUCUAAAUGGGAGGUACAUGCCUUCUAAAGCUAAAUAUUGGCCAGAGACCGAUAGCGCACAAGUAGAGUGAUCGAAAGAUGAAAAGCACUUUGAAAAGAGGGUUAAAUAGUACGUGAAAUUGUUGAAAGGGAAGCGCUUACGACCAGACUUGGGCUUGGUUGAUCAUCCGGCGUUCUCGCCGGUGCACUCUGCCAGUCCAGGCCAGCAUCAGCUCGUCGCGGGGGAAAAAGGCUUCGGGAAUGUGGCUCCCUCGGGAGUGUUAUAGACCGUUGCGUAAUACCCUGCGGUGGGCUGAGGUUCGCGCAUCUGCUCGGAUGCUGGCGUAAUGGUCAUCAGCGACCCGUCUUGAAACACGGACCAAGGAGUCGUCUUCGUAUGCGAGUGUUCGGGUGUCAAACCCCUACGCGUAAUGAAAGUGAACGCAGGUGAGAGCUUCGGCGCAUCAUCGACCGAUCCUGAUGUUCUCGGAUGGAUUUGAGUAAGAGCAUACGGGGCCGGACCCGAAAGAAGGUGAACUAUGCCUGUGUAGGGUGAAGCCAGAGGAAACUCUGGUGGAGGCUCGCAGCGGUUCUGACGUGCAAAUCGAUCGUCAAACAUGGGCAUGGGGGCGAAAGACUAAUCGAACCUUCUAGUAGCUGGUUUCCGCCGA